AACGUAGGGUGCGAGCGUUAAUCGGAAUUACUGGGCGUAAAGCGUGCGCAGGCGGUUCGCUAAGACAGGUGUGAAAUCCCCGGGCUCAACCUGGGAACUGCGUUUGUGACUGGCGGGCUGGGGUGCCGAAGAGGGAGGUGGAAUUCCACGUGUAGCAGUGAAAUGGGUAGAGAUGUGGCGGAACACCGAUGGCGAAGGCAGCCUCCUGGUCUAGCACUGACGCUCAUGCACGAAAGCGUGGGGAGCAAACAGG
rnacentral:rRNA from 1 species